rnacentral:rRNA from 1 species
GUGAGUAACCUGCCCUUGACUCUGGGAUAAGCCUGGGAAACUGGGUCUAAUACCGGAUACGACCGCUCACCGCAUGGUGUGGUGGUGGAAAGCUUUUGCGGUUUUGGAUGGACUCGCGGCCUAUCAGCUUGUUGGUGGGGUAAUGGCCUACCAAGGCGACGACGGGUAGCCGGCCUGAGAGGGUGACCGGCCACACUGGGACUGAGACACGGCCCAGACUCCUACGGGAGGCAGCAGUGGGGAAUAUUGCACAAUGGGCGAAAGCCUGAUGCAGCGACGCCGCGUGAGGGAUGACGGCCUUCGGGUUGUAAACCUCUUUCAGUAGGGAAGAAGCGAAAGUGACGGUACCUGCAGAAGAAGCGCCGGCUAACUACGUGCCAGCAGCCGCGGUAAUACGUAGGGCGCAAGCGUUAUCCGGAAUUAUUGGGCGUAAAGAGCUCGUAGGCGGUUUGUCGCGUCUGCUGUGAAAGACCGGGGCUCAACUCCGGUUCUGCAGUGGGUACGGGCAGACUAGAGUGAUGUAGGGGAGACUGGAAUUCCUGGUGUAGCGGUGAAAUGCGCAGAUAUCAGGAGGAACACCGAUGGCGAAGGCAGGUCUCUGGGCAUUAACUGACGCUGAGGAGCGAAAGCAUGGGGAGCGAACAGGAUUAGAUACCCUGGUAGUCCAUGCCGUAAACGUUGGGCACUAGGUGUGGGGGACAUUCCACGUUUUCCGCGCCGUAGCUAACGCAUUAAGUGCCCCGCCUGGGGAGUACGGCCGCAAGGCUAAAACUCAAAGGAAUUGACGGGGGCCCGCACAAGCGGCGGAGCAUGCGGAUUAAUUCGAUGCAACGCGAAGAACCUUACCAAGGCUUGACAUGAACCGGUAACGCCUGGAAACAGGUGCCCCGCUUGCGGUCGGUUUACAGGUGGUGCAUGGUUGUCGUCAGCUCGUGUCGUGAGAUGUUGGGUUAAGUCCCGCAACGAGCGCAACCCUCGUUCUAUGUUGCCAGCGCGUGAUGGCGGGGACUCAUAGGAGACUGCCGGGGUCAACUCGGAGGAAGGUGGGGACGACGUCAAAUCAUCAUGCCCCUUAUGUCUUGGGCUUCACGCAUGCUACAAUGGCCGGUACAAAGGGUUGCGAUACUGUGAGGUGGAGCUAAUCCCAAAAAGCCGGUCUCAGUUCGGAUUGGGGUCUGCAACUCGACCCCAUGAAGUCGGAGUCGCUAGUAAUCGCAGAUCAGCAACGCUGCGGUGAAUACGUUCCCGGGCCUUGUACACACCGCCCGUCAAGUCACGAAAGUUGGUAACACCCGAAGCCG